GAACGCUGGCGGCAGGCCUAACACAUGCAAGUCGAACGGUAACAGGAAGCAGCUUGCUGCUUCGCUGACGAGUGGCGGACGGGUGAGUAAUGUCUGGGAAGCUGCCUGAUGGAGGGGGAUAACUACUGGAAACGGUAGCGAAUACCGCAUAAUGUCGCAAGACCAAAGAGGGGGACCUUCGGGCCUCUUGCCAUCGGAUGUGCCCAGAUGGGAUUAGCUUGUUGGUGGGGUAACGGCUCACCAAGGCGACGAUCCCUAGCUGGUCUGAGAGGAUGACCAGCCACACUGGAACUGAGACACGGUCCAGACUCCUACGGGAGGCAGCAGUGGGGAAUAUUGCACAAUGGGCGCAAGCCUGAUGCAGCCAUGCCGCGUGUAUGAAGAAGGCCUUCGGGUUGUAAAGUACUUUCAGCGGGGAGGAAGGGAGUAAAGUUAAUACCUUUGCUCAUUGACGUUACCCGCAGAAGAAGCACCGGCUAACUCCGUGCCAGCAGCCGCGGUAAUACGGAGGGUGCAAGCGUUAAUCGGAAUUACUGGGCGUAAAGCGCACGCAGGCGGUUUGUUAAGUCAGAUGUGAAAUCCCCGGGCUCAACCUGGGAACUGCAUCUGAUACUGGCAAGCUUGAGUCUCGUAGAGGGGGGUAGAAUUCCAGGUGUAGCGGUGAAAUGCGUAGAGAUCUGGAGGAAUACCGGUGGCGAAGGCGGCCCCCUGGACGAAGACUGACGCUCAGGUGCGAAAGCGUGGGGAGCAAACAGGAUUAGAUACCCUGGUAGUCCACGCCGUAAACGAUGUCGACUUGGAGGUUGUGCCCUUGAGGCGUGGCUUCCGGAGCUAACGCGUUAAGUCGACCGCCUGGGGAGUACGGCCGCAAGGUUAAAACUCAAAUGAAUUGACGGGGGCCCGCACAAGCGGUGGACAUGUGGUUUAAUUCGAUGCAACGCGAAGAACCUUACCUGGUCUUGACAUCCACGGAAGUUUUCAGAGAUGAGAAUGUGCCUUCGGGAACCGUGAGACAGGUGCUGCAUGGCUGUCGUCAGCUCGUGUUGUGAAAUGUUGGGUUAAGUCCCGCAACGAGCGCAACCCUUAUCCUUUGUUGCCAGCGGUCCGGCCGGGAACUCAAAGGAGACUGCCAGUGAUAAACUGGAGGAAGGUGGGUAUGACGUCAAGUCAUCAUGGCCCUUACGACCAGGGCUACACACGUGCUACAAUGGCGCAUACAAAGAGAAGCGACCUCGCGAGAGCAAGCGGACCUCAUAAAGUGCGUCGUAGUCCGGAUUGGAGUCUGCAACUCGACUCCAUGAAGUCGGAAUCGCUAGUAAUCGUGGAUCAGAAUGCCACGGUGAAUACGUUCCUGGGCCUUGUACACACCGCCCGUCACACCAUGGGAGUGGGUUGCAAAAGAAGUAGGUAGCUUAACCUUCGGGAGGGCGCUUACCACUUUGUGAUUCAUGACUGGGGUGAAGUCAUAACAAGGUA
rnacentral:rRNA from 1 species